rnacentral:rRNA from 1 species
UACGUAGGCAGCGAGCGUUGUUCGGAAUUACUGGGCGUAAAGAGUGUGUAGGCGGUGCUCUAAGUUUGGUGUGAAAUCUCCCGGCUCAACUGGGAGGGUGCGCCGAAUACUGAAUGACUAGAGUGCGGGAGAGGAGAGUGGAAUUCCUGGUGUAGCGGUGAAAUGCGCAGAUAUCGGGAGGAACACCUGUGGCGAAAGCGGCUCACUGGACCACAACUGACGCUGAGGCGCGAAAGCUAGGGGAGCAAACAGG